GGUCGGUGGCGUUAUAAAUAGAUACGUUCUUUCACUCGUCCCGAUAUCAACAAACCAAACCCAAUUACCGAUAGCCUAACUCCCUACCCAAACAUCGCCGUCCUUCUCCGGAGAUAUACAAAACCAUCGUUUCAGAAUCAGAUACACAUAGCCUUGUUUUCCAUCAUUCUGUUAUCGAAAGACCCAAACACUCCAUGAAAUUAUCAACAUCUCUAAUGUGCAUCUAUCAGAAACAAACCCCCCUCAAGAGAAAUGGUUUUGCAAACAUCACAAAAACACUCUAUGAAAUGAAAUGUGUGGUACAACAUUUAGGAGUUGAUCUAAUAGAUUAGAUAGCAAAAUGUUGUAUUCGCAUUGUUUAUAAUCCAGAUAAAUGCGAUCUUGUUGCAUCUGCUUUAUGCAACAAGAUAACAUGUAUCUAGCACAUGCAACAAGGUCACAUUUAUCAGGAUUAUAUACAAUCUGAAUGCAAUGUAUUGCUAUCUACUCUAUUGUAUCACCUCCUAAAACUCUAUGCACUACAAAACUUUGCCACAACUAUAUUGAAUAGCUUUGGUGUAUAAAGAGCCUAUGAUUUCAACACAAUUGGCUUCAAAAACUAACCAGACCAGACUGUUAUUGUUUGUGAUAAGGUAAUUAUAGUUGUAGUAAAUUACAUUUUUGGUC